rnacentral:rRNA from 1 species
CCUACGGGAGGCAGCAGUGGGGAAUAUUGCACAAUGGGCGAAAGCCUGAUGCAGCAACGCCGCGUGAAGGAAGACGGUUUUCGGAUUGUAAACUUCUAUCAACAGGGAAGAAAGAAAUGACGGUACCUAAAUAAGAAGCCCCGGCUAACUACGUGCCAGCAGCCGCGGUAAUACGUAGGGGGCAAGCGUUAUCCGGAAUUACUGGGUGUAAAGGGAGAGUAGGCGGCUCGGCAAGCGUGAUGUGAAAGCCUUGGGCUUAACCAAAGGAUUGCAUAACGAACUAUCUAGCUAGAGUGCAGGAGAGGUAAGCGGAAUUCCUAGUGUAGCGGUGAAAUGCGUAGAUAUUAGGAAGAACACCAGUGGCGAAGGCGGCUUACUGGACUGAAACUGACGCUGAGGCUCGAAAGCGUGGGGAGCGAACAGGAUUAGAUACCCCUGUAGUC